rnacentral:tRNA from 1 species
UCCUAUGUAGUUUAGUUGGCAAAGCAUCUGCCUGCAGUGCAGGAGACCUGGGUUCAAUUCUUGGGUAGGAA